AUAUGGUACUUUGCACCUCUUCAUAACUCUGAACUCUGCAGUGAGAGGUCUUGGUCCCACAAGGGGACACAGUUUUGCUGAGAGAUAUAUAAAAAAUCUCACUGAAAAACAUAAGCUGCAGCAGCUACCUGGAUACUUUCGGUUCCUUGUGUCUGUCUAGGGAGCAGCAGCCAAUAAAAGGAGUCAAGAUCAGUUGACCCUAAUCAAGAGGAGAUUGGAAUCCUGGUUACACAAUCUGGGCAGAAGUAAUAAAUGUGGUGCCCAAGUGAUAAACCUACCAAAUUGAGACUAAUGUGUAGGUGUGGCAACCCAUCCUCAAAAGGGCAUGAUGGCCUGGAACUCAGGCCUCUCAAGGAAUGUGGGUCUGAAUUAUACCAGAUAAACCACCAGGAGCAGCAGAGGUGGUAGCAGAGGCUGAGGGAAAUCUAGAAUUGAUAGUGGAGGAUGAGGGGAUGUGACAAGUAUUGAUGGCAUUCCCAAGCCCCACUGCAGCAGCAAGCACUGUAAUUUGUCCCACUAAUCUCCCAUCUUCUAAAUUUCUGAGAGGUCAAGAAAAGAGGUCUCUUGAUUCCUUUAGGAACUGCUCCCUAAGCAUACAGGGAGACAUAGAUCUAUGUGGAGCAAAGGGUGGAUUGUAAUAAGCAAAGAGAUACACUGCCUGAUUCACUUUAAGAAAGGACUGACCUCCCAGUUGCAAGGAAUGAGGUCAGCAGCCUCCAACUGUCAGCUCCUUCAGAGUCUGCUUCAACUGCAGAAGGACACUGUGCUUGAGGUCAUACCCUUCCCAUGUCUGGUGACUGAAGUCCAGCUGAAUGUAGCUGCCAAAGUUACCUUAAUGCCCAUGGGAAGCAAAAAAUCAAAGAGUUUAAACAGAAUUUUGAGAAAUCCCAAAUCAGUUUUUUUUCAGCAUAUGACAUUUUGGAGUAGUUUGUUAUUCAGCAAUAGAUAACAGAAAUUGGUAUCAGGAGUGGGGUGUUACCAUAACAAAAGGUUAAACCUUACAUGGUAAAAAGGACUUUGCCUCUGUCAUUAAGUUAAGCACUUUGAAAUGUAGAGAUUAUCCUGAAUUAUCUAGGUAGGCUCAAUAUAAGCAUGAGUCCUUAAAAGUGGAAGACGGAUACAUGAGAGGAUGUCAGAAUGAUGUGAAAUGAGAAGAACUCAACCUGCUAUUGUUGGCUUUACAGGUGAGUGAUAGGAACCACAAGCCCCAAGCAGCCUCUGGAAGCUGGAAAAAGCAAAGAAACAGAUUCUUUCCAGAGUGUCCAGAAAGGAAUGCAGUUCAGCUAACAUCUUGAUUUUAGAUCAGUGAGAUUUUUGUGUUGGACUUCUACAGAACUAUAUAAGAAUAAAUUGUGUUGCUUAAGCACACUAUAAUACAUGUGGCAAGAAGCUGCCAGCUAAGCCUUGAAGAAUAGUGAACAAACUCUUACUGGAGGAUGGGAAGGCAGUAAAUAAAUUAUUGAAUUAUUGAAAUAAAUGGAGGAUUGAGUUAUGCAUUGACAGAAUGCUUAGCAAUAAUUUUGCUUGUCUUAAUGUGGAACAGAAAAUGAAACUUAAUAGCUUGUAGAUGUCUUAAGGAGAUUUCCAGGUGAAUGUUGAAAGUACUGAUGAACUUAUUAUGGCUGCAUCUCAUAAUGUACAGGAAGACAUUUACUGAGUGAACUAAAGAAGGAACUGUUCAAUUUGAAAGCAGAAUUUAGAGGAAAUUUUUCAACCUAGUACUUGUCAUUUUUUUAUAGAAAAGGAAAAAUAGAUGGAAGAUGGAGCCAAAAUCCCAGAGGGAGGAGCCAAGAAGCAAGGAGAGCAAUGGAUUAGGAAACCACUACCAGAGGGAUGAACUGAACCACAAUCAAGGAAUAGCCUCUUCCUUUGGUGUAGGGGGACCCUGAAAACAAUUUAAUUUUAUGCUUCCUGUUUCCUUGUCUCCUUUUUUGAAUGAUAGUCUCUGUGUGGUGUUCCUAUCCUAGAAAACCUUAACUGGGACAAGCUACUCUCAAGCAUCUUCACUUGAGAAACAGUAACUGAGGAAGUUUAUUGUAUCUGGACAUGGUUUAGAUGAUAAGAUUCUGAACUUAAACUUAUGCCAUAAUGGAGUGAGACUCUUAGGGUACAGAGUAAGUACAUUUUUGCAUGUUAGUGAGACAAGAACUGUGGCCGGGGGCAGACUGUGAUAGUUUUUGAAGAUGUCCCUCAAACAAUUCCUUCCCUUCCUUGGACUCCUCUCUUCAGAGGGUAGAGUCCAUUUCCUUUUCCUUUUAAUCUGGAUUGGCCUUCUAACUCACUUUGACCAAUAAAAUGUGGUAAAAGU
rnacentral:lncRNA from 1 species